rnacentral:rRNA from 1 species
UACGGGGGAGCAAGCGUUGUUCGGAUUUACUGGGCGUAAAGGGCGCGUAGGCGGCCAGCACAAGUCAAGUUGUGAAAUCUCCGAGCUUAACUCGGAAAGGUCAACUGAUACUGUGCGGCUAGAGUGCGGAAGGGGCAACUGGAAUUCUCGGGUGUAGCGGUGAAAUGCGUAGAUAUCGAGAGGAACACCUGCGGCGAAGGCGGGUUGCUGGGCCGACACUGACGCUGAUGCGCGAAAGCCAGGGAGCGAACGGG